UCCUACGGGAGGCAGCAGUAGGGAAUCUUCCACAAUGGACGAAAGUCUGAUGGAGCAACGCCGCGUGAGUGAAGAAGGCCUUCGGGUUGUAAAGCCCUGUCGAGAGGGAAAAACGGCAGUACGACUAAUAAGCGUAUUGCGUGAUGGUACCUCUAGAGGAAGCACCGGCUAACUUCGUGCCAGCAGCCGCGGUAAU
rnacentral:rRNA from 1 species